CACGUUCUUUUCUUUGUUGCCGUUGGGGUGCUGGACUUUGCACACCACGUGUUCGUCUGUGCCCUGCAUGACGUCCUUGGAAGGCAGCAGCACCUGUGAGGUGGCUGCGUACUUGCCCCCUCUCAGGACUGAUGGGAAGCCCCGGGUGCUGCUGAUGUCAGAGUUGUUCUUGUAUUUCCAGGAGAAAGUGAUGGAGUCGGGAAGGAAGUCCUGUGCGAGGCAGCCAACGGCCACGCUGCUCGUAUCCGACGGGGAAUUCUCACAGGAGACGAGGGGGAAAAGGGUUGGGGCGGAUGCACUCCCAAUCCACUCCAGGCCCUUCCCUGGUGGCUGCCGGAUCCAGCUCCAGGAGUAACCACCACUGCUGAUGGAGCCACCAGAGACAGCGCAGGUGAGGGACAGGGUCUGUGAAGGCUUCACCAGUCCUGAGCCGGACUCCUGCAGCUGCAGCUG
rnacentral:lncRNA from 1 species